GGAUUGAUGAUGACUUUCACAAAAACAUUCUUUGGAAGCUGAACAAAAUGAGUUGAAAAUCUAUACAUCAUUCUCAUCGAAUCUGAGGUCC